AGAGUUUGAUCAUGGCUCAGAGCGAACGCUGGCGGCAGGCUUAACACAUGCAAGUCGAGCGGGUGUAGCAAUACAUCAGCGGCAGACGGGUGAGUAACGCGUGGGAACGUACCUUUUGGUUCGGAACAACCCAGGGAAACUUGGGCUAAUACCGGAUAAGCCCUUACGGGGAAAGAUUUAUCGCCGAAAGAUCGGCCCGCGUCUGAUUAGCUAGUUGGUGAGGUAAUGGCUCACCAAGGCGGCGAUCAGUAGCUGGUCUGAGAGGAUGAUCAGCCACAUUGGGACUGAGACACGGCCCAAACUCCUACGGGAGGCAGCAGUGGGGAAUAUUGGACAAUGGGCGCAAGCCUGAUCCAGCCAUGCCGCGUGAGUGAUGAAGGCCCUAGGGUUGUAAAGCUCUUUUGUGCGGGAAGAUAAUGACGGUACCGCAAGAAUAAGCCCCGGCUAACUUCGUGCCAGCAGCCGCGGUAAUACGAAGGGGGCUAGCGUUGCUCGGAAUCACUGGGCGUAAAGGGUGCGUAGGCGGGUCUUUAAGUCAGGGGUGAAAUCCUGGAGCUCAACUCCAGAACUGCCUUUGAUACUGAAGAUCUUGAGUUCGGGAGAGGUGAGUGGAACUGCGAGUGUAGAGGUGAAAUUCGUAGAUAUUCGCAAGAACACCAGUGGCGAAGGCGGCUCACUGGCCCGAUACUGACGCUGAGGCACGAAAGCGUGGGGAGCAAACAGGAUUAGAUACCCUAGUAGUCC
rnacentral:rRNA from 1 species